rnacentral:rRNA from 1 species
GACGCACGCUUGCGGCGUGCUUAACACAUGCACGUCCACCGAAGUGGCGAACGGGUGAGUAAUCCGUGGGUAACCUGCCCUCCUUUUUGGGAUAAGCCUUAGAAACGGGGUCUAAUACCGACUAAAGGGGGAUGGGCUCUCGGCCUAUCAGCUUGGUGGUGGGGUGAUGACCUCCCAAGGCGGUGCCGGGUCGCCGGCCUGAGAGGGAGACGGGCCACAUUGGGACAGAGGUACGGCGCAGACUCCUACGGGAGGCAGCAGUGGGGGAUAUUGCACAAUGGGCGAAAGGCUGAUGCAGCGACGCCGAGUGGGGGAUGAAGGCUUGAGGGUUGCAAACCUCUUUCGCUAUCGAGCGGGUAGGUGGAGAAGAAGCGCCGGCGAGCUACGUGCCAGCAGCCGCGGUAAUAC